AUGAACGCUAGCGGCUAGGCUUAACACAUGCAAGUCGAGGGGUAGAAGGAGCUUGCUCCUUUGAGACCGGCGCACGGGUGCGUAACGCGUAUGCAAUCUACCUUUGCAGAGGGAUAGCCCAGAGAAUUUGGAUUAAUACCUCAUAGUAUGUGAGGAUGGCAUCAUUUUCACAUUAAAGUCACAACGGCAAAAGAUGAGCAUGCGUCCCAUUAGCUAGUUGGUAAGGUAACGGCUUACCAAGGCUACGAUGGGUAGGGGUCCUGAGAGGGAGAUCCCCCACACUGGUACUGAGACACGGACCAGACUCCUACGGGAGGCAGCAGUGAGGAAUAUUGGACAAUGGGCGCAAGCCUGAUCCAGCCAUGCCGCGUGCAGGAUGACGGUCCUAUGGAUUGUAAACUGCUUUUGUACAGGAAGAAACACUACUUCGUGAAGUAGCUUGACGGUACUGUAAGAAUAAGGAUCGGCUAACUCCGUG
rnacentral:rRNA from 1 species